UACGGGAGGCAGCAGUGGGGAAUAUUGGACAAUGGGCGCAAGCCUGAUCCAGCCAUGCCGCGUGUGUGAAGAAGGCCUUCGGGUUGUAAAGCACUUUCAGCGAGGAGGAAGGGUUAGUAGUUAAUAGCUGCUAAUUUUGACGUUACUCGCAGAAGAAGCACCGGCUAACUCUGUGCCAGCAGCCGCGGUAAUACAGAGGGUGCAAGCGUUAAUCGGAAUUACUGGGCGUAAAGCGCACGUAGGCGGUUUUUUAAGUCAGAUGUGAAAGCCCCGGGCUCAACCUGGGAAUUGCAUUUGAAACUGGAAAACUAGAGUGUGUGAGAGGGGGGUAGAAUUCCAAGUGUAGCGGUGAAAUGCGUAGAGAUUUGGAGGAAUACCAGUGGCGAAGGCGGCCCCCUGGCACAACACUGACGCUCAGGUGCGAAAGCGUGGGGAGCAAACAGGAUUAGAUACCCUGGUAGUCCACGCCGUAAACGAUGUCUACUAGCUGUUCGUGGUCUUGUACCGUGAGUAGCGCAGCUAACGCAUUAAGUAGACCGCCUGGGGAGUAUGGUCGCAAGAUUAAAACUCAAA
rnacentral:rRNA from 1 species